CCUACGGGAGGCAGCAGUGGGGAAUAUUGGACAAUGGGGGGAACCCUGAUCCAGCCAUGCCGCGUGUGUGAAGAAGGCCCUCGGGUUGUAAAGCACUUUCAGUGAGGAAGAACGCCUGGUGGUUAAUACCCAUCAGGAAAGACAUCACUCACAGAAGAAGCACCGGCUAACUCCGUGCCAGCAGCCGCGGUAAUACGGAGGGUGUGAGCGUUAAUCGGAAUUACUGGGCGUAAAGCGCGCGUAGGUGGCUUGAUAAGCCGGUUGUGAAAGCCCCGGGCUCAACCUGGGAACGGCAUCCGGAACUGUCAAGCUAGAGUGCAGGAGAGGAAGGUAGAAUUCCCGGUGUAGCGGUGAAAUGCGUAGAGAUCGGGAGGAAUACCAGUGGCGAAGGCGGCCUUCUGGACUGACACUGACACUGAGGUGCGAAAGCGUGGGUAGCAAACAGGAUUAGAUACCCCUGUAGUC
rnacentral:rRNA from 1 species